CUCUGACCUGAAAGGCGAUGCCCUAAGGACUGUUGAAUUAUCACGAGCGAGGAGAGAGAAAGUGCUCUAUUGAUUUGAUAGAUAGAGGCGCUAGGGAAGAAAACUAGACUCUACUCUCUCGAGAGAUUGACUUGCGNNNUUUGAGUUCUCUGUAAGCCAUUGAAAGAAAGGUUGGUGAAUCCAUUGGAAGUUCCCUGAAC
rnacentral:misc_RNA from 1 species